AGCGGCGGACGGGUGAGUAACACGUGGGUAACCUACCUAUAAGACUGGGAUAACUCCGGGAAACCGGGGCUAAUACCGGAUAAUAUUUUGAACCGCAUGGUUCAAUAGUGAAAGACGGUUUCGGCUGUCACUUAUAGAUGGACCCGCGCCGUAUUAGCUAGUUGGUAAGGUAACGGCUUACCAAGGCGACGAUACGUAGCCGACCUGAGAGGGUGAUCGGCCACACUGGAACUGAGACACGGUCCAGACUCCUACGGGAGGCAGCAGUAGGGAAUCUUCCGCAAUGGGCGAAAGCCUGACGGAGCAACGCCGCGUGAGUGAUGAAGGUCUUCGGAUCGUAAAACUCUGUUGUUAGGGAAGAACAAAUUUGUUAGUAACUGAACAAGUCUUGACGGUACCUAACCAGAAAGCCACGGCUAACUACGUGCCAGCAGCCGCGGUAAUACGUAGGUGGCAAGCGUUAUCCGGAAUUAUUGGGCGUAAAGCGCGCGUAGGCGGUUUCUUAAGUCUGAUGUGAAAGCCCACGGCUCAACCGUGGAGGGUCAUUGGAAACUGGGAAACUUGAGUGCAGAAGAGGAGAGUGGAAUUCCAUGUGUAGCGGUGAAAUGCGCAGAGAUAUGGAGGAACACCAGUGGCGAAGGCGGCUCUCUGGUCUGUAACUGACGCUGAUGUGCGAAAGCGUGGGGAUCAAACAGGAUUAGAUACCCUGGUAGUCCACGCCGUAAACGAUGAGUGCUAAGUGUUAGGGGGUUUCCGCCCCUUAGUGCUGCAGCUAACGCAUUAAGCACUCCGCCUGGGGAGUACGACCGCAAGGUUGAAACUCAAAGGAAUUGACGGGGGACCCGCACAAGCGGUGGAGCAUGUGGUUUAAUU
rnacentral:rRNA from 2 species